ACGUGUAGCGAGCCGUUCCGCUAUAGUGUUUGAAUCGCCAAUGUAAGCGAUUCAAGCAGUUUAUAGCAGUCUUUCUUCAGGUUCCCCACUAAAGACGAAAGAUGUUGACAGUGGGGCCAGAAUACUCGUUGAUAAGAUCUCCUAUAGCGAACUACAGAGUACUUGUCAAAGAACUUCCGUCUAUGUUCUGAACACCCUGUAUAUCUCACACAUAAAACAAUAAAUUAUGUAAAUCUUACCAUAAAUGACAGAAA